rnacentral:lncRNA from 1 species
GGAGUUUCCAAAGACCAUAUAUAGGCUGGGCCAACCGGAUGGGCUGUGGAUUCCAGGGGGGCCUGGCUGGCAGGGGCUUGCCCACAGAGCCGCAGUGGCUGAGUGCUGGCAUGUAGGCUAAGGGGUCAGAGCCCUGACUCUGAAGAGCUGCUUCCUGGGACAGGAGACCAGGCCCCAGGCCCUAUUUGCUCAUGUCCAGAGCACCAAGCCUAUCCACAGUAGGGUCAACUGUCUGGCCUUCCCUGCUGUGUGCUAGUGACCAGAGGUACAUGUCCUCAUGGGGCAGAAAGACUGGUGUACGAGGCCAGUACGUCCCUUGGGCUGGGUAGCAGCAGACAUGCUGGCUGGCCUCCCCUCCCAGCUGCCCCAGAAUCUGCCAGGAGUUCUGGCUCUGCCUUUCCCCUGUAGAUGAGCACAUCAUCAGGGUUGUCAGGCUCCCUGGCCAUUGCCUGACCCCUCAGUGGACUGUCUGUCCUCACUGGGGUUGGUCAGAAACUGGGAAGUACCACCUGUCCUUGAGACCCUGUGGCCAGUGGCCCGUCCAGGCCACACCUGGUUUUCCCACAAGCCACCUCUGUGUUCAGGAGGACGUUAGCAGGGUGUGUCCACGGGAGGAGCCAGGCCUGUCCUCCUGGUGUUCGUAAGCACUGGGGGCUGGUGUGCGUGCUGGUCCACUGCGUCUUGCAUGGCCACCCAGCAGCCAGGGUGAAGAGAAAGCAGGCCAGCGCCGCCCCGGGAGUCUCUGAGAUGGGUGGACUGUUGGUCAAAGAACUGUGUGGAGUAAAACCCUCCUCUCUAGUUAUCUUGGCCAGGUAUGGUCUGGACGGGAGGAAGGAGGUCCAGAUGGUGCACAGCAACUCACUCAGUGACAGCGCCCAGGAC